AGGGAUUCAUUACCGAGUUUACAACUCCCAAACCCAAUGUGAACGUUACCAAACUGUUGCCUCGGCGGGAUCUCUGCCCCGGGUGCGUCGCAGCCCCGGACCAAGGCGCCCGCCGGAGGACCAACCAAAACUCUUUUUGUAUACCCCCUCGCGGGUUUUUUAUACUCUGAGCCUUCUCGGCGCCUCUCGUAGGCGUUUCGAAAAUGAAUCAAAACUUUCAACAACGGAUCUCUUGGUUCUGGCAUCGAUGAAGAACGCAGCGAAAUGCGAUAAGUAAUGUGAAUUGCAGAAUUCAGUGAAUCAUCGAAUCUUUGAACGCACAUUGCGCCCGCCAGUAUUCUGGCGGGCAUGCCUGUCCGAGCGUCAUUUCAACCCUCGAACCCCUCCGGGGGGUCGGCGUUGGGGAUCGGCCCUGCCUCUUGGCGGUGGCCGUCUCCGAAAUACAGUGGCGGUCUCGCCGCAGCCUCUCCUGCGCAGUAGUUUGCACACUCGCAUCGGGAGCGCGGCGCGUCCACAGCCGUUAAACACCCAACUUCUGAAAUGUUGACCUCGGAUCAGGUAGGAAUACCCGCUGAACUUAAAGGGAUUCAUUACCGWGUUUACAACUCCCAAACCCAAUGUGAACGUUACCAAACUGUUGCCUCGGCGGGAUCUCUGCCCCGGGUGCGUCGCAGCCCCGGACCAAGGCGCCCGCCGGAGGACCAACCAAAACUCUUUUUGUAUACCCCCUCGCGGGUUUUUUAUACUCUGAGCCUUCUCGGCGCCUCUCGUAGGCGUUUCGAAAAUGAAUCAAAACUUUCAACAACGGAUCUCUUGGUUCUGGCAUCGAUGAAGAACGCAGCGAAAUGCGAUAAGUAAUGUGAAUUGCAGAAUUCAGUGAAUCAUCGAAUCUUUGAACGCACAUUGCGCCCGCCAGUAUUCUGGCGGGCAUGCCUGUCCGAGCGUCAUUUCAACCCUCGAACCCCUCCGGGGGGUCGGCGUUGGGGAUCGGCCCUGCCUCUUGGCGGUGGCCGUCUCCGAAAUACAGUGGCGGUCUCGCCGCAGCCUCUCCUGCGCAGUAGUUUGCACACUCGCAUCGGGAGCGCGGCGCGUCCACAGCCGUUAAACACCCAACUUCUGAAAUGUUGACCUCGGAUCAGGUAGGAAUACCCGCUGAACUUAA
rnacentral:sRNA from 1 species